rnacentral:lncRNA from 1 species
CUUUCCGGCGUUGAUGACGGCUGUCCGGUGUGGAAACAGUAAACAACGGCUGGGUUUUUGUGCUGGUGGCGGCUGGGGAAGAGGAGGAAAAGAAAAAUGUGAUUUUAGGGUUUCAUGGUUUUUAUCGUGGAGGUCCCUAUAGUUUCAUAUUUUUUCAGUUGGGCAGAAACGUUUUUAAUUUUUUGCGUUUAAAUCCAAAAAUAGUUUUGGGCUUAAUGAAUCCUAGUUUUAGGCCCAAUUUCAAUUGGGCUUAAUGGAUUAAAAUGCAUAGAUAAAAUUGAAUAUAUUAAAUUUAUUUUUGGUCCAAAAGUUUUAUUUUAAUAAAUUUUAAUUUUAAUUAUUUAUUUUCUUUCUAAAUUAAAAUUGGACCAAUUAUAAAUUUAAAAGCCCAAUUUCCCCUAGUCCAUCAACAAAGACAAGCUAUGGAAGAUGGAUAUUGACAAGAAGCCCAAUGAAGAUUAGGCUUAGGGUUAAUGUAUUUUUCAUUAUUAGGAAAGCCAUGAAUUAAGAUUAUUUAAUUAUUUUUUCUAUAUGUUAUGUUUUGGAUGAUUACAUGCCAUGAUAACAUGUCAUAUAGAAUAGGUAGUGCCACUCUAUGCAUAAUGAUACAUGUCAUUCAUUAAUAAUGAAUUUCAUUAUAUUGUUUGAAAUUUGCGUAUGCUUAAUAAUAUUUGAUAUCAUCUAGAUAAUAUUAUAGGAAGCAUGCAAUUAACAAUAUGUAUGUUUUAAAAAGGAAAAACCAAUUUUAAAAUAUUGAGUGGGAGAGGGAAAAUUCAAGAUAAUUUUCCCACGGGCUCCAUUGUUAGUUCAAUAAUAAAAUUAUAUAUAUACCUCGACUUCAUGAUACGGUGAUGCUCCCUUCGGAGGGUAUAUAUAUUAGAUAUUUUAUUUGAUGAACUUCUUCAAAGAUAAAAUUGAAAUAUUUUUCAAUCGAUUGUUCACCCCAACGGUGACUAUUGAUAUGAAAAAUACGUAGAUUGAAACAAUGGUUAUACACUCAACUAAAGUUUGUUAUUAACCUUCCCAACGAAGCUCUGUUAACAAAUUUAGGUCCAAAGGGAUAACGAUAAUUAUUUAUCAUGUCUCUACAUGAAAGUAAAUAAUCCAAUGGGUAAUUGGGUAUAGUAAGUAUAGACAUGACUUCCCCACCGGAUAGCUUGUCAAAGCGGUACUAGAUUAUCGUUACAAUAAAUUAAAAUGCAUUUAUGGUUUUUUGCAUUUUUGUCAUUUAUUGUGAAUAUUGUUUCAAAGUAUUUAUGCAUGUCUAUUUUGUUUUUUUUUUCAGAAAAUGUCUUCCAUCAACCCAUUAUUAAUUAUCCUUGUUAAAAAUGAACUCACUGGCGAAAAUUAUUUAGAUUGGAAACGCAAUCUAUUUAAUAUUCUCACUGCUAAGGGAAGCAAAUAUGUUUUGACUCAGCCUUGCCCUCCUGAACUAUCGUUAUACGAUUAUAGAAAUCAGAGGGAGCCUUAUGAGAAAUGGUGCGAAGCUAACAAAAUGGCUAAGCGCUAUAUAUUGGCUUCGAUUUCUGUGGAACUGCAUAAGAAACAUCAGAGCAUGGAAACAGCCACUGAAAUAAUGGCUAGUCUUCAUCAGAUGUUUGGGCAAAAUACCCAUUUUGCCAGAGAAGCAGCAUUGAAACGUAUUACGGAUACUAAGAUGGAAGAGGGCACAAAAGUUCGUGAUCAUGUCCUCAAAAUGAUGGACUAUUUGAAUGAGGUAGAGAUUCAUGGUGUUGAAAUCAAUGAUAAAUCAAAGAUUAACAUGGUGAUUGAAUCUUUACCUGAUACAUUCAAAGAGUUUAAGGUCAGUUAUAUCUUAAACAAUAAAGAUAUGACCUUAAUUGAAUUAAUGCACGAACUACAUGCUAUAAAAGAAUUUUAUCAUAGCAGAAAACUUCCUGAAAAAGGAUUCUCUUCAAGGCUUAAGUCGAAAGACAAGAAUGAGCAAGCAAGAGUUGGGAUCGGCAAACUGUCCACUAAAAGAAGUGGCAAGCCAAAAGGCAAGUGUUACAAAUGUGGACAGAAGGGUCACUGGAAGAAAGAUUGUCCUAAGAUUAUUAAAAUCAGGUAUAGGAAAUCUUUAAGCUUCCUAAUUAGUUCAGAUUUCUAUUGCAUCAUACAAUAAUGAAUUCUGAGAUAACUAAUUUUAUUUGUAAUUCAUUUAUUUGGUUUUCAGGAAACCAAGAGAUUAAGUGAAGAAAACAUCAAACAGCAGUUGAGGACAUGCUAGUUUAUAUCAAUUGAAAGACUAGAUCAAUUUUACAAGACUUUAGUUUUGAUAUUUGUCUUUAUAUUAGAGGAAUUUAAUUUCGGUGGCUUGUUUUAAUAAACAGGAGUACACUGUUAUUUUUUGGAUCCUCUAUUUAUUAUUUAUUUUGGUUAUUUAUAAAGACAAUUUAUAUCAUAGAAGUCCAUUGAUCUAUUCAAAGUAAGAAAUAAUGAUAAAAAGUAUAUGCAUUUAUCUAAGAAAAGAAAUGUUUCUUCUAACCAAAAAUCACCUCUGAUAUUUAUGCCUAAGUCAUAUAAACUAUAAUAAGAUUUUAAGAAAAUGAUUAAUGAUAGACUUGUUGGCCUAUUAAGAUUGAUCAUUGUAACUCUAUAAAUCUUAUUUAGAAAAGUAAUAUGACAAGGAUGCUCUUUUGGAGCUAAAAGCAUAACUAUGUAUUUGAUGAUUUAGCGCAUACAAAUGUAUACGGACUAAUCAGUUUACAUGUUAUAAGGGGUUAUGAGUAUUCCAUCAAUCUUGUUGAUGAAUAUUCAUUUUAUUUAUGUUUGUCUAAAUGCGUCAUGAUUCCAGUGCUUUUAAAAUUCAAAAGAGUACGUGGAUAAGACAGAAGCAAUUAGACAGGAACAUAAAAGAACUUCGAUAUGAUCGAAACAAAGAAUAUCUCUAUGGAGAAUUCAAACACUAUUUGGUUGUCAAUGAACACUAUAAUACAAUAGUGUAAUUAAAUGGAGAAACAAGAUUCUUUUGGAUAAGACAAGAUAUAUACUAAGUGGUUUAUCAUUUACCUUUUUUGAUUCCAGAUACUAGUAUUUAAAACUACAAAGUUUAUUGAACUUAGUUUCAUCUAUCUCGGUGUCUACUACUCCAAGAAAUUAUGAAAAAGUCACAAACAUGGUUUGAGACACAUUCAUAUUUGGAGUUUACUAGUAUUUCUACUAGAAUCAGAGAUAGACAAGAUGGAUUCGUGUUCAGAAGCUUGCAUGUUUUAGGUAUCUUAAAGGAAUAAGGGAAAGUCUGAAUUAUAGUCCUCAAGAUAGGAAUGUAUUUAUAGAAAUAUUCUUUACUUUCUUUGAGGAAGACUCUAUAAUGACUUAUAACCUAAGAGUAAGGUAAAACUAGAGAAAUAAAAGAGAUCAGGUUGAUGCUCAGCUUUCAACACCUGUUAUAGAACAGGAAGAACAGCAACAACCAGCUGAUCAGCACAGGAUUAUCCUUGAACAACCAUCACUUUUAGAACCUCGUCGUAGUGGGAGGGUAACUAGGUUACCUGCGAGAUACAUGCUUUUGGGAGAAACCUAUACGGCUAUCUCAGAUGAACAUGUACAAGAUCCCACUAGUUACAACGAAGCUCUAAUAGAUAGAGAUGUUGAAUUUUAGAAAAAGGCCAUGAAUCAAGAAAUGGAAUCUAUGUAUUCCAAUAAAGUCUGGGAACUUGUAGAGGCACCAAAUGGGGUAAAACCUACAGGGUGCAAGUAGAUCUACAAGAGAAAAAGAGGAGUAGACGGAAGGGUGGAAACAUUUAAAGCAAGAUUAGUAGUCGAAGGGUUUACUCAGAAAGAAGGAAUCGAUUAUGAGGAAACCUUUUCUACGGUUGCUAUGCUUAAAUCCAUCAGGAUUCUGCUCUCCAUUACUGCAGUGCUAGAUUAUGAAAUUUGGCAAAUGGAUGUCAAGACUGCCUUUCUUAACGGGCAUCUUGAAGAAAACAUCUACAUGCAGCAACCAGAUGGAUUUAUACAAAAAGGACAAGAACACAUGGUAUGUAAGUUGCAGAGAUCCAUUUAUGGAUUGAAGCAAGCAUCCCGGUCAUGGAACAUCAGAUUUGAUCAAGCGAUUAAAUCACUUGGAUUCAUUCAGAACAUUGAUGAACCAUGUGUGUACAAGAAAAUUCAGGGAAAAUUUGUAGCCUUCCUAGUUCUUUGUGUAGACAAUAUUCUCCUGAUUGGAAAUGAUAUAGGAGUAUUGACUACAAUAAAGAUUUGGUUAGCAAAAUAAUUUGAUAUGAAAGACCUGGGGGAGGCAAGUUAUAUUCUUGGUAUCAAGUUACUACGAGACCGGAAGAAUAAAACUUUAGCCUUGUCUCAAGCGGUCUAUAUCGAUAAGAUAUUGGCUAGAUUUAGCAUGAAAAAUUCCAAGACUGGUUUAUUACCAUUCAGACAUGGAAUUACAUUCUCUAAGGAUCAAUCACCUAAAACAUCUGAAGAGAUAGAGAGAAUGAGACGAGUUCCCUAUGCAGACGCUGUGGGAAGUCUCAUGUAUGCCAUGCUUUGCACUAGGCCAGACAUCUGUUUUGCGGUAGGGAUGGUUAGCAGAUAUCAAUUUAAUCCUGGACCUCAAUACUGGACUGCAGUCAAGCAUAUUAUAAAGUAUCUGAAAAGAACUAAAAAUUAUAUGCUUGUGUAUUCUGGUGAUGAACUCAUUCCAGUGGGUUAUACUGAUUCUGACUUUAUGUCAGAUAAGGAUUCCAGAAAAUCAACUUCCGGCUAUGUGUUUACAUUGGGAAGUGGAGCUAUUAGUUGGAUGAGUGUGAAACAAUCUUGUAUCACAGACUCAACAACUAAAGCUGAAUAUGUGGCUACAUCUGAAGCUGCAAAAGAAGCUAUAUGGCUCCGCAAGUUCCUAUGAAAUCUUGAGGUGGUACCUGUUGUAACUACACCCCUUAAACUAUUUAUGUGAUAAUGGUGGUGCGGUAGCUCAAUCUAAGGAACCAAGGAACCACAGGAAGCAAAACAUAUUGAAAGGAAGUAUCAUCUAAUAAGGGAAUAGUGUAGAAAGGUUAUAUGACAGUACCUCAAAUGGCAUUAGAUGCUAAAUGGCAGAUCUUAUUACAAUGGCCAUUAGUGGGAAACCUUUAUAACCUGCACUUAGAGCCCUAGAGCAUGUGCAAUAUGCCAGAUAUGCUUUGAGAGCUAGUGGGAGAUUGUUGGGAAAAUAUGCUCUUUAAAAGCAUAUGUGUUUAUUUAAUUGUAAUAAACUAUUUUUCUGAUUAAUAAAAUAAAUGAGGUAUUUUAUUCAAAUAUCUUAAUUGCAUUAAUACUUGUAUUAAAGUCCAUUUAAUCAUAUUAUAUGUAUUUAUGUGAUCACCAUGUGGAUUCACAGAAGACAUAAAUACAAGUUAUCUUAUGAUUAAAUAAAUUUAGUUCGCAGUUGAUAAAUAAAGUUGGGCACUUUAUUUAGGUAUAGAUUGUAAUAAAUUCAUUGAAUGAUUUGUCUUAAUCAUGUAUGAAUUUAUUGAUGUAGUACGACUACAUUGAACAGGAUCACAUAUGAGAUUUAAUUAACUUUGUAAUAACUGUCAGACUUAUUAAAUCCCAUAGGCGUUGCUUUUACUGUAAUCUUAAUCUUGAGUUAAUUAUGAUUUCAUGAUUGUAAUUGUUAUUCCAUUUGAGUUACCAAUGGGCACGACACAUCCUUGUGGUCAAGAUUACCCGGUAUCUUGGUGGGAGCAAUUAUGAGUUUUGGAGUUAUGGAUUAACAAUAUAGAAUUUGUACAACACAUCUCUUGAUGGGUUUUCGGCACUUGAUCAUAGAAUUCUCUGGCCAGAGUGUGUCAACAUAUUUAGUAUGUUGAAAAUGAUCAUUAGAGAAAACCAGUAAGGAUCAAGGAAUAAGAUGUUAUUAAAUUGAUUGGACAGUUGAGAUAUCAAUUUAAUUAACGAUGUGGUACAAAGGAUUGUGCAGUAAAGAAAUCAAUGUGGCUUGGGACGAAUUAUUAUUCGAGCAUACAAUUAUGGAAGUCAGUUCCAAUCUUUUAGUGGAGUAGAUUUGGAAUUAAAUAAUUGGGCUAGUUUAAUUACAGGCCUAAUUGUUGUAGCCACUAUUGUAUGUUCCCAAAUGAUCCCCGGGUUAGCUCAUUUAAUUGACUGCACCACUACUGGACUAAUAAGUAAGAUAACUAGCUAUUUGGGUCAAAAGCCUAAAUAUAUCAUUUAGUGGGAGGCUCCAUUUAAUUAGCUUUUGUAUAAGGGGCCUUAUGUUAUUUUACAAGGUGGGUCCCCUAUUGAAAAAGAAAAUAACGUGAGUUUUAUUUAGGGCAUUAUUUGGAGCCUAGGGUUUUCACUAAAGGGUGAUAUAAAAGGCUUAUUUUCUCUAAAGAAAAAAGAGAAGCCACUUUAUAAAAAUCGGAGAAUAAGAUUUUUCUCUCUAUUGUUGAGAGAAAAAUUUUCUCGUGCUAGUUGCUUUGGUAGUGAUAAAGGCGCCCACACGUCAAGUGCAGAUCGAACCUGAGUCAUAACCUGGAAGAUCAUUGGUGACAGUUCGUGAUCUAACAAGCGUGGUGGUGACGGAUCGUGAUCUAACAUGAGUGGUGGUGGCGGAUCGUGAUCUAGGAGCCUAAAUCACUUCAGCGGAAAAAACCAACUCGGAUUUUCAAGGUACGAUUUCUAGAAUACAAAUUCUUAUAUAUUAUAUGAGAGCGAUCUUCAAAAGGUUUUAUAAAAAUUUAAAAACCUGAUUUUUCCCCAACAAUUGGUAUCAGAGCAAUCUCAUAUUAAUAUAUAAGAAUUUCGUAUGAAAUUAAUCUUGAUAUUUAUGUAUUAGAGUGGCACAAUUUAUUCAGAUAUAUAUUAUUUGUUUAAUAUAUGAAUAAAGCAUGUUUAUAGUUUGUCUUAAUUCAUGGUUAGAUUUUCUAUUGUAUUUUUCGUUUGGAUCUGUAACAAGAAGGGUGGCUUUUUAUCACCAUAAUUCCCUCUUGAUUUAUUUUACUGUAAUUGAAAUUUUGUAAGCAAAAAUUUGCGUUGAAAAUUUGUAAAUCACCGAAGCAUCAUCACUGGAAAACGAGCGCAAACAAUCGAGGCCGGAAACUGCAGCAACGAACCAGCGCACGCAGCAGCGAGCGGCCAGCAGCACAAGCUGCUGUGCGAGCAGCGCGCGGCCAGCAGCACAUGCUGCCAGCAGCGCGCGCUGCACGCGCAGCGGCCAGCAGCCACGCUGCUAGCAGCGCGAGCUGCACACACAGCAGCUGCAGCGCGUGCUGCACAAGCAGCAACCACAGCGCGCGAGCAGCAGCUGCAGCGCCCAAGCAGCAGCGUGAACGUGGGCUGAAGGCGCGGAGCGUUUUGGUUGGCAUCUUUCCGGCGUUGAUGACGGCUGUCCGGUGUGGAAACAGUAAACAACGGCUGGGUUUUUGUGCUGGUGGCGGCUGGGGAAGAGGAGGAAAAGAAAAAUGUGAUUUUAGGGUUUCAUGGUUUUUAUCGUGGAGGUCCCUAUAGUUUCAUAUUUUUUCAGUUGGGCAGAAACGUUUUUAAUUUUUUGCGUUUAAAUCCAAAAAUAGUUUUGGGCUUAAUGAAUCCUAGUUUUAGGCCCAAUUUCAAUUGGGCUUAAUGGAUUAAAAUGCAUAGAUAAAAUUGAAUAUAUUAAAUUUAUUUUUG